AGUCGCAAAAACCCUUCCUAAAAUGCCGGAUCCAUAAACUAUAUGCAAUGAAUAACUCUUAAUAAUAAAAAAAAAACAUGUUAACCAGCUUUUUACGCGUCGUUCAAUUCAGGAUUCAUUUGAUAUGUUCUUUAAAUUAAAUUUCAUUUUGUCGGGUUCAUUAGAAAAAAACCUUGUUCGGUGUUUGAGUUUUUAGUGAUAUUUCGUAGGCCUUUCACAUGUUGAAAUCGAGGGACAUGUGUCGAACCUUGAUUCCCCGCAGGUUUGCCUACGUGCUAUGAUAGCUUCUUAGACAAUCUUAUUCUCCAUUGGUCAACUAAAGGCUGUGUUGUGUCUAUUGUGAUAUCAACUCUGAAAGUGGUAUUGGGGCGUGCUUGGCUGUGUGAUGCUUUCGGUUACCAACCCCACGGAGUAGAUGGCAUCCUGAUGAAUGCAGUGGCACACUAGCCCACUCCGGAGCUGAGAUAUAUAUUUUAUCAACACAUCUACCUGAGAUCUCGCCUAUCCUUCUGGCAGUUACCAAUGAAUGUCCCGUACUGGCAGGCGUGGGCGUGGUCGUGUAAUGUUAGUAGGAACCUCUCGUUGAACUGGAAGGCCUGACCAGCUGCCAGGUGCAGUCCAGCAGCUGUGUGAAGACGGGCGAUCGUUCUCGUGAGUCACACGCCACGUGACCACAACGAGCCGUGAACUUGUGGCCAAAUGACAGCCAGUCCUUUUCGAUCAACGCCUGAGAAAUAAUACAUGACGUAUAGGUACCAUGUAUAUAAUUCUACUGUACGUGAGUAUGUUAACUCUUCGUAAACGGCUAGACCGAUUUUAACGAUUUUUUUUUUGUAUGUAUUUGGGUGGCGUCCCAGAUGGUUAAGAUACACAAAUCAUCCGGCAGAUGUUGCUGCAGUUUUAUGGUAUUUAGGUUCUUACAAAGGCUGCAGCGUAGGUGACUAUAAGUAUUGUUUCAACACACUUCAUACAUAUCUCUAUGUGCGCACUUCUGAUGUUCACGCGGAUGGAGUCGCGGGCAAAAACUACUUAAAUAUAGCAUAGUGCAAUUAUCAUCACAAAAAGUUAUAUUUUUGAUCACCAACAUUUAUUAUUGAACUCAAUAAUACAUAAGGGUAUGUUUAUAUGGAAAUAAAAAUAGAAAAUAGCGGUUGGUAUUUGUUACCUGGUAGCCAUUGAUAGUCCUGUAGUGAGGUUCUAUACACAGGGCGGCCAGCGAGCACACCUGAGCGGUUCUGUCCCAGCCGUCGCUGCAGUGAACACAGACGCUCACUCCUCCGGAUAUAGCGCUGGCUAUCCACCAGGACGUGUCCAGGAUAGAUCUGUUUCGAACACAUUAUUAUCAAAAACAUUUAAGGGUCUAAAAAAUUACAAACAGACCCAAGACUAGAAAGGAAAAAUGCUAUUAGUUUCGAUCUAUGAAAGACUGAAUUUCGGAAUAUUAGAUUAACAAGAAAAAACGCCUUUGAACGAUUAAACUAAAAGUAUGAGUUUACAUGUCUUAUGAGAGCUCUGGAAAAGUAUUUUUAAUCGCGGGAGUUCAUUGUAAAACUCACUUGAUAUGUUUCAGCCAACCUGAUGACUCCAAGCCAUUCAAGAAGGACGACAUUGUGGGAGAGUUUUGUUCACACGCUGAAAUUAUCAUCAGAAACAAUGACUAUAGUUAGGACCAUAUAAGCAAAAACAUUCAAUGCUCAAAAAUCGCACGAAUUAAUGGAUGUCUAUAAAGUAUCAAUUUAUCUAGAUUCAGAAACUUAAAAAACACUUAUAUUGAAUUUUCGCAAAAUAAUGUAAUCGAGUCCUAGCCGCGCGUGCCGGGCUGCGAGAUGCGGUCCUUUUCUUAGGCCACACACUUAUAUAGUUUGGCUGUAGUACGUACUUCGGCCACGAAGAAAAAUCACUGUGUUGUAAGAUGUUGCUCCUAACGUCAAAUGUCUGAAUACUAACUUUCAACCAGUUUCUGAAGACUCUUCCUCAUCACGUGUAUGUUACCGAUGCCCAUGAACUGAAACUUGAUGUUCUCGUAGAAGGCUUCGUUCUCAUAGCCCUUGCCAGCGGCACGAUUCACCAUCGCAUUAAUCUGAUAAAAAUAUAUAGGAAAUAGCGUCUGGUUUUUGGUUAUCUAAGUUAUUACUGCUCCUAUGUAACCUACCCUCGGUCGUGUGUCCACGACAUACAUGUACCCGCAGUUGGGGUUUGCGCGACGGAUGAGAUCCAACAUUUGUUCGUCUUCCAUGCAUCUUAAAUGUACAAGAAAUAUUAUCUUAAAAUACUAUUGCAAAACAAAUAAACAUUACAUCAUAUGGUCCUUGGAGCAUUUUUUCUGACCUGGCAGAAAAUCCGCUUAAUGGCUGACUGCAUCUGGCGAUGGCCGCUUUGUUAUGGUGCAAGUAAGCCAACACCGGCAACCUCCCGCGGGACCGGAAGCUGGCGCUGCCCAGUAACACCGCACUGGAGGCUCGAGCCGGUACGUAAAUCUCGCUUGGGUAAGUGUCACAAAGCUGUAAAAUGUAUUACUUUUUGAGACUUCUUACAUGUAAUAAAGUUUCUUUUUUGUAAUGUGUAUUGCUGUUAUCCCUGCGGCUUUUACAGCAUCACCGGGAGAGUGGGCGGGUGCUGAGACUGGCCCGUUACAAAGGGGUCAGUUACGAAGACUGUUUAUUUUUAAUUCACUAGAAAUAGUGAGAACCAUAUGGUUCUAUAGCCAUGUGGAUACAAUUUUUAUCAUUUGCUUAGGUUUGGUAGAGUUCUGAGAGAGUAAGAAAAAAAAAUUAUGCAAAUCAAAUAACAAAAAUACAGUGUUAUUCAAAAUAUGUACGACUAGGUAAUAUUUAAAAUAAGUCUUUUAACAGCCAUCUGCGUACGUACCUCAUAAUCUCUGUUAGCGUUACAGAGGGUCCACUGUUCAUUGGGGACAUUCAUUCUCUGGAACUCUGUCUGUAUGUCGAAGAAAUUCCAACCAGCUGACUUGGGAAGGUCGUCCGGAGUAGACUUGUAAUGGAAGCAGUAUAGCUCUUCCAGCUUAGGACCUCAUUCUUGGACGAAGGCUUACCCGGUUGACUUAACCUCAGCAGGGUCUGGUGCAUCUCGUGACAGUCCCGUUCUCUCGGUAUAACAAAGAACACAGAUUGGAAGGUCUUAGUGCGAACUAACAGAGGCGAGCCCGUCGUUGUGAUCGGCAAACGUUCCACUGUUGAUAUGUGCAUUAGAAGUAUCUAUAAAGAAUGUUAUUAUUCACAUAUAUAGCACUAUCAGUUUUAAAUUUGUAUUUUUUGUUCUUAUCAUUUGUUAUUCUUAACAAUUUUAUAUAUCGAUCAAAAGUA